AUGCUAUAAGUAUUUUCCCUUGGCAGCUUAUACAAAUGGUUUGAUACAAUUUUGCGACCUAUCUUCUUCAGCCCAAACUCUGCAUCAGUAGACGUGAGUAUACAUACGGCGUCGAAAAAGGAAAAUAGAUUAGAUUGCGUGUCAACAGCAAUAAAGCUCGUCUCGAGGCUGUACGGAUCUUGGCACUGCUCACGUUUGGGGUUUAUUUAUUUCAUUCCCCUUCCUAUCCUUGUCGAAGCUCUCAGCGACUCUGCAGUAGAAAUGACGGCCUCCCGAUGCGAUGAUGUGUGCUGAUAUUUGACACUUUAUUGUGUGCACAACAUCUGCU